rnacentral:rRNA from 1 species
AAUGCACAUACUGUGAGCUCGAUGAGUAGGGCGGGACACGUGGUAUCCUGUCUGAAUAUGGGGGGACCAUCCUCCAAGGCUAAAUACUCCUGACUGACCGAUAGUGAACCAGUACCGUGAGGGAAAGGCGAAAAGAACCCCGGCGAGGGGAGUGAAAAAGAACCUGAAACCGUGUACGUACAAGCAGUGGGAGCCUCUUUUAUGGGGUGACUGCGUACCUUUUGUAUAAUGGGUCAGCGACUUAUAUUCUGUAGCAAGGUUAACCGAAUAGGGGAGCCGAAGGGAAACCGAGUCUUAACUGGGCGUUAAGUUGCAGGGUAUAGACCCGAAACCCGGUGAUCUAGCCAUGGGCAGGUUGAAGGUUGGGUAACACUAACUGGAGGACCGAACCGACUAAUGUUGAAAAAUUAGCGGAUGACUUGUGGCUGGGGGUGAAAGGCCAAUCAAACCGGGAGAUAGCUGGUUCUCCCCGAAAGCUAUUUAGGUAGCGCCUCGUGAAUUCAUCUCCGGGGGUAGAGCACUGUUUCGGCAAGGGGGUCAUCCCGACUUACCAACCCGAUGCAAACUGCGAAUACCGGAGAAUGUUAUCACGGGAGACACACGGCGGGUGCUAACGUCCGUCGUGAAGAGGGAAACAACCCAGACCGCCAGCUAAGGUCCCAAAGUCAUGGUUAAGUGGGAAACGAUGUGGGAAGGCCCAGACAGCCAGGAUGUUGGCUUAGAAGCAGCCAUCAUUUAAAGAAAGCGUAAUAGCUCACUGGUCGAGUCGGCCUGCGCGGAAGAUGUAACGGGGCUAAACCAUGCACCGAAGCUGCGGCAGCGACGCUUAUGCGUUGUUGGGUA